rnacentral:rRNA from 1 species
AUGUCGGCGGCGGUGAGGCUGCAGGCUGCUGCGCGCGGCCUCCUAGCGCGUCGGCGUGUGCGGGAGAUGCGUGGUCUGCAGCUGCCGCUCCUCCAAGUUGCCCUUUGCUGUACAAAGGACCUCGAUCUCGUCCGCUGCGUCAGGGAUCUUGGGCAUGCAGUUUCACCCACGGGCGGCUGGCAUGCUGUUUUCCCCGCGGGCAGCGACCUCAAAGUCUGCGACAUCGGCGGUUGGGGGGCGCACCCCUCCUCGUCAUUCUCCAUCGCAAGCCCUCCACUCUUCCAUGUGCGGUGCAGACCAACAGCCAUACAUAUGCACUCAUUUUGUCCAGGUGGUGUCCAUGGAAUCCAGGUGGUUGUACACGUGCAUGUCCAAAAUAAAGCGUCCUAG